rnacentral:rRNA from 1 species
AUGGAGAUUUUCAUUUCUGCGUUGAUGGGUGAACUCAUAUCAAGAUCCAUGAGUUCCAUCAUCAAAAAAUACUCCAAGCCACCGGCGGAGGCCGUGGAAGCUAGGUUAGAGAGGAUUCUACUCAGGGGGCAGGUCAUCAUCGACGAGGCAAUGGGGCGGCACAUCACAAACCAUGGAAUGCUCCGGCAGCUUACCAUGCUGAGGUAUGCCAUGUACCAAGGCUACUAUGUGCUUGACACCUUCAGAUGCCAAGCAUACAAAGAAGAGGAGAAUAAUCUGGCUGUGAGUCAAUCUGGGGUGGUGUCCAAAUUUCAUUCUGCACAACGCCUCUGCCUCUCCAGCAGCAACAACAAAAAAACAUCACAAGGGCUUGAAGUGGCCCUCGAAGGUUUGAGAUCCAUGAUUCUUGAUGCCAGCGAGAUGGUCAGGUUCCUGACAACAUAUCCCCGCCUACAUCGUCAGCCUUACAGCAUGCAUCUCUUGCUGGACAAGUGCAUGUUUGCCCGCCAGAGGGAGACAGAAGUAGUUACAAACUUCCUUCUGUGCACACAAUCUUGUACUAGUAGUUUUGAUGUCCUCCCAAUUGUUGGUCCGGAGAAUGUUGGAAAGAGCACUCUUGUCGCUCAUAUCUGCGAAGACGAAAGAGUACGUGACCGUUUCCACCAGAUUGUUUUUUUCAGGCACGAUAAUUUCAGAGCUCAAGAUAUAGCCAAUUUGACAGGCAGAUGUGCGGCAAGACAUGUGAAUAAUGAGAGAUUGAUGAUCAUCGUCGACAUAGUUGGGGAUCUCGACGAAGAUCUGUGGGAAAGCAUGUGCUCUCUUUGCCGACAAAGCACUAAAAGUGGUAGUAAAAUCAUUAUCACAAGCCGAUCUGACAAGAUCACAAAGCUUGGAACAACACAGACUCUAGUACUGAAGCAUCUGUCGCAUGAGGCAUUCUGGUAUUUCUUCAAGGUGAUGACAUUUGGAAGCACGGAUCCCAAGAUGCACCCAAGACUUGUGUAUUUGGCAAUGGAGAUGGCAAAGUUGAUGAAUUAUAAUCUCGCUGAUGCUAGCAUCGCUGCAUGUGUAUUGAGAGCCAAUUUUAACAUCAGUUUCUGGUGCAAGGUUCUGGAAUUACGAAGAGGAUACAUACAAAAUCAUCUCUGUAAGUUUGAUGGGCAUCCGCAUGAACUUCUCAGUGAGAAUAGACCUGUGUAUUUCCAACCAAUGGCUACAACUACUGAAGAUAUUCUUGUUCUUGGUACUAAUCAGACAUGCUCUUCCGAAGAGGAAGUUCCCAAGAUAACGGCCGUAGAUGUUCUGUACGGAACCUCUAGGCCACAAGGGGGAACAUUUAAGGUCCUUGCAUGGAAAUCUCCGAUACCGCCCUACCAUUGCUACAUACAAACUUACGAGAUCCGAGAGCUGCAAGCUAGAGCGAUGAAGAGGAAGCGCCCUCUGGAAUGGUAUUAG